AAUCCCGCAGGUGAAGAAGCUGGAUGUGGAGGUCCUGGGCUGGCGUGGUUACAGGUGGUCUGUGGUUGUGAGGCUGGUUGGACGUACUGCCAAAUUCUCUAAAAUGAAGGAGGCGGCAUAUGGUAGUGAAAUUAACAUUAAAUUCUCUGGCAACAGUUCUGGUAGAUAUCCCCGCAGUCAGCAUGCCAAUUGCAAGCUCCCUCAAUUUGAGACAUCUGUGGCAUUGUGUUGUGACAAAACUGCACAUUUAAGUGGCCUUUUGUCCCCAGAACAAGUUGCACUUGUGUAAUGAUAAUGCUGUUUAAUCAGCUUCUUGAUAUGCCACACCUGUCAGGUGUAUGGAUUAUCUUGGCAAAUGAGAAAUGCUCACUAACAGGAAUGUAGACAAAUUUCUGCACAAAAUUUGAGAUAUAAACUUCUCGUGCAUAUGGAAAAUCUGCGAUCUUUUAUUUCAGCUCAUGAAACAUGGGACCAACACUUUACAUGUUGCGUUUAUAUUUUUGUUCAGUGUAAUAAAGAAAACACAUGGCCAGGGGUUAGAAGCUGAUGAUGUCUGUUUGUCUGAGCCUUGAUGGACCAGUAUCAUCUUCUCAGUCACCGCCUGGCAUGUACGUCCUGGAUGGCUGGGAGCUCACCCGCAAUGAUGAGCUGGAACGGUCCGUACCACCCUCUGUAGGGCCUUCCGGUCGAGGGCGGUGUAGUUGCUAUAUCAGACGCUUAUACAACCAGUCAGGAUGUUCUCGAUGGUGCAGCUGUAAAAGUUCCUAAGGAUCUGAUGGGCUAUGCCAAAUCAUUUCAGCCUCCAGAGGGAGAAGAGGCACUGCGGUGCCUUCUUUACGACUAUGCUGUUGUAGGAGGACAAUGAUAAGUCUUCAGUGAUGUAGACACAGGAACUUGAAGCUCUUGACCCUCUUCACUGCAGUCCCGUUGAUGGGGCCCCUCUUUCCUGAAUUCCAAGAUCAGCUCAUUGGUCUUGCUGACAUUUAGGGCGAGGUUGUUGUGCUGACCUCUUCCCUAAUGUGCACCCCUUGGGGUCCCAAGGACCGAGUUUGGGAAGCGCUGCUGUAGGCUGUCUCAUCGUCAUUGGUGAUCAGGCAGACCACAGUCGUGUCGUUAGCAAACUUGAUGAUGGAGUUGGAGGCGAG
rnacentral:lncRNA from 1 species